rnacentral:lncRNA from 1 species
GAUUUGAGAGACAGAGAAUGAUGUUAGGUAAAGAAAAAGUUGUAUUCCUAUUGAAAAAUGAAGGGCUGGUAUGAAUCACGUUAUUUUUGGUUAAAAAGAGAACGGAGUAAGAGGUCCUAACAUAUCAAUAACAGUUGAUAAGAUUUUGAUUGAACAACAUUAAUAUUGAGGAACCACUAGUGUGCAUGGAAGAAAAGUGGGGAAAGAAAGAAAAGCACCACUUGGAUUUGUUGUUAUGAGAAAAUCAGAGUGAAGUGAAAGCUUGUUUUUGUCUUAAUAACUACGUGAAAGCACUCUGCACCUGUAGUAUUGACGUUUUCAUCAGAGGAAGAAGUUCCUGCUGCUGCUAGCUGUAUCUAUUUAUCACCAUAUUCAAUCACACAAUUCAAUACCCAAUUUUUUUCCCAAAGCUUUUAAGAAUAACUUGUCAUUUUAGGGUUUAGGGUUUAGGGUCAGAGAUAUUUUUAAGAAAACAAGAUCUAGGUUCCUAAAAUUGAUGUCUUUGCUUUGACAAAAACCUCACGAAUUAUCUGCAUAAUUUUUAACUUCAUGGAUGCAGACUUAGGUUUGUAACUUUAAGUUAAAAAUUAAAUG